rnacentral:tRNA from 1 species
ACAAAAUAUAGCUUACAAAAGCCCUNCGCUUACACCGGAAAGACAUUUGUUGAACUCAGAUAUUUUUGA